UGCUGAGAACUUGGUCUUAGGUGUCCUGU
rnacentral:piRNA from 1 species